UUUAAUCCGAAGCAACGCGAAGAACCUUACCAAGUCUUGACAUCCUCUUGAAUAAAGGGUAAUGCCUUUAGGCCUUCGGGACAAGAGAGACAGGUGGUGCAUGGUUGUCGUCAGCUCGUGUCGUGAGAUGUUGGGUUAAGUCCCGCAACGAGCGCAACCCUUAUCUUCAGUAGCCAGCAGGUAAAGCCGGGCACUCUGGAGAGACUGCCGGGGAUAACCCGGAGGAAGGUGGGGAUGACGUCAAAUCAUCAUGCCCCUUAUGAUUUGGGCUACACACGUGCUACAAUGGCGUAAACAGAGGGAAGCGAGCCCGCGAGGGGGAGCAAAUCCCAAAAAUAACGUCCCAGUUCGGAUUGUAGUCUGCAACCCGACUACAUGAAGCUGGAAUCGCUAGUAAUCGCGGAUCAGAAUGCCG
rnacentral:rRNA from 1 species